CUGGCGGCAGGCCUUAUACAUGCAAGUCGAGCGCAUCCUUCGGGAUGAGCGGCGGACGGGUGAGUAACGCGUGGGAAUGUGCCCUUCUCUACGGAAUAGCCACUGGAAACGGUGAGUAAUACCGUAUACGCCCUUAGGGGGAAAGAUUUAUCGGAGAAGGAUCAGCCCGCGUUAGAUUAGGUAGUUGGUGGGGUAACGGCCUACCAAGCCUACGAUCUAUAGCUGGUUUUAGAGGAUGAUCAGCCACACUGGGACUGAGACACGGCCCAGACUCCUACGGGAGGCAGCAGUAGGGAAUCUUGGACAAUGGGGGCAACCCUGAUCCAGCCAUGCCGCGUGAGUGAAGAAGGCCCUAGGGUCGUAAAGCUCUUUCGCCUGUGAUGAUAAUGACAGUAGCAGGUAAAGAAACCCCGGCUAACUCCGUGCCAGCAGCCGCGGUAAUACGGAGGGGGUUAGCGUUGUUCGGAAUUACUGGGCGUAAAGCGCGCGUAGGCGGAUUGGAAAGUUGGGGGUGAAAUCCCGGGGCUCAACCCCGGAACUGCCUUCAAAACUCCCAGUCUAGAGUUCGAGAGAGGUGAGUGGAAUUCCGAGUGUAGAGGUGAAAUUCGUAGAUAUUCGGAAGAACACCAGUGGCGAAGGCGGCUCACUGGCUCGAUACUGACGCUGAGGUGCGAAAGUGUGGGGAGCAAACAGGAUUAGAUACCCUGGUAGUCCACACCGUAAACGAUGAAUGCCAGUCGUCGGAUAGUAUACUAUUCGGUGACACACCUAACGGAUUAAGCAUUCCGCCUGGGGAGUACGGU
rnacentral:rRNA from 1 species